UGCCAGGCAGAGAACACAGGAGGGACAGAGCGGGGAAGGGGUGGGGGGCAGUGCGCAGCCUGGCAGCGCCUCUGGCCUCCCUGCACUUUGCAUCUCCUGCCCUUUCUGCUCCAGGCAUUCUGGGACCUGUGUAAACCAGAAGAUCCCAGACGUUCACACCGCGGGGGCAACUUCUGACCUUGACGGGCGGUGGUGGGGAACGGGUGGCUAACACGCCGCCUCUCCGGAGAGAACCCACCAGAAGCUGAGCCCCCGGAGCCCACAGUGGCCGGUGACUCUUUCCCUGGCCCUGGCAGGGCAGCUGGAGAAGACGACAGCGUGUCCUGUGUUGGGACGUCGGCCUCCCGCCGACGCGGCGUCCUCACGCCGUGGAGCGCUCACGUUUGAACGAAAGCCUGUCGUCGAACGUCAGCGCGGCGACCGCGUCGGGUGGGAUUCUCUCCCCUCCACUAAGAGUCCCCGGAGGUUUCAGGGCAGGAGGACGGGGAGUGAGAGGAGGGGCCUCUGGGGGAGGAGGAGAGCAGCAGCAGCAGCUGUGUUCCCAGGAGCACCUGUGACCGUCCGGCCCCCCGGCCCCCAGCCCCCAGCCCGAGCCUGCUCACACAGACGCUGCAAAGACAGGACCUGGCUUUUGUUUUCACUUCAUUUAAUUUGCCCGAAUGAAGACUGCAAUUACUAAGCAGUUUAUACAUUCCCCUGGGCUUCGGGGAUGCUGUCCCUGGCAGAGUUGCCACCCCCAUUUGGAAACUUCACCCGUAAAAGCAUCAGACUCGCCUGCGUAGUAUGUGGAAAUCUGCAGUGUCAUCCUUUGUGCAAGGGAUAAAAAUUCAACCCAGGGUACCGGUUUUAAUAAAGCUUAAUUAGACCAAUUUGUAGUAAGCUGAGGUUUCCACUUUGCAAUUUGACAAGCAGCUUGAGCUGCCUUGCUACGUUUUUAUGUUCAGGAAUUUCUGUAUCUCAAAAGGUCGAAUGGAUCAUAAAAUUCUCUCCAAAAGACUCCUAAAGGAGUAGUGAAUUUCUUCCAUUGUGUGUGUGUGUGUGUGUGUGUUUUAGAAUGUCUUUAUUAAUGAUUGAAGGGUGAUCUUGGGUAAUGGUGGAGUUCAACCCAUCACUGAGGUCCAGGGGGGCAGAUCAGACUGGUCCCCCUCUCGUGAAACUCUUGCCACUAGCUCAUGGCCCUCUUUCC
rnacentral:lncRNA from 1 species